UUUUUGGAGGGUUGUGCUCAUUGUGUUACAAACUAUCUCAGGUACUACCUGGCCUCUUGUUGAAGCAAGAUGACGGUGCAGACUGCAAGGCGUAAGUUGGCAGUAAGUCACUGAAGUCUCUGACCUAUCAGCUUCCGAAGGUAGGAUAUGGGCCUACAUUGGCAACGACGGGUAACGGAGGAUUGGGGUUUGACUCCGGAGAGGGAGCCUGAGAAAUGGCUACCACAUCUAAGGAAGGCAGCAGGCGCGCAAAUUACCCAAUCCUGGCAUAGGGAGGUAGUG
rnacentral:rRNA from 1 species